rnacentral:rRNA from 1 species
ACCCGAAGAUGGUGCGCUAACCUGCUUGCGGGAGGCAGCCAGCCACGGUGGGAUCAGCGACUGGGGUGAAGUCGUAACAAGGUAGCCGUAGGUGAACCUGCAGAAGGAUCA